UACGUAGGGUGCAAGCGUUAAUCGGAAUUACUGGGCGUAAAGGGCGCGUAGGCGGCCUUCUAAGUCGAACGUGAAAUCCCCGGGCUCAACCCGGGAACUGCGUCCGAUACUGGAAGGCUUGAAUCCGGGAGAGGGAUGCGGAAUUCCAGGUGUAGCGGUGAAAUGCGUAGAUAUCUGGAGGAGCACCGGUGGCGAAAGGCGGCAUCCUGGACCGGUAUUGACGCUGAGGCGCGAAAGCCAGGGGAGCAAACGGGG
rnacentral:rRNA from 1 species